rnacentral:rRNA from 1 species
GGACUACAAGGGUAUCUAAUCCUGUUUGCUCCCCACGCUUUCGUGCCUCAACGUCAGAUAUGAGCCAAGAAGCUGCCUUCGCCAUUGGUGUUCCUCCCGAGAUCCACGCAUUUUACCGCUACUCCGGGAAUUCCACUUCUCUCUCUCAUCCUCUAGUUUGCCAGUUUUCAUCGCAAUACUCCGGUUAGGCCGGAGCCUUUAACAACGAACUUAACAUACCGUCUACGCACCCUUUACGCCCAGUGAUUCCGAAUAACGUUUGCACCCUUCGUAUUACCGCGGCUGCUGGCAC